rnacentral:lncRNA from 1 species
CAUUUCUUGGGCCGCUUCCCGCGGCAUAUGGGGGUUCCCAGGCUAGGGGUCUAAUCGGAGCUGUAGCCGCCGGCCUACACCAGAGCCACAGCAAUACAGGAUCCGAGCCGCGUCUGCGACCUACACCACAGCUCACGGCAACGCCGGGUCCUAACCCACUGAGUAAGGCCAGGGCUCGAACCCGCAACCUCAUGGUUCCUUGUCAGAUUCGUUAACCACUGAGCCAUGACAGGAACUCCCAAUUAAGUCUUUUAAAACUCCAGAUAAGAUCAUAAUUCAAUAUUUUUGCUAUAACAAUCUCUCUCAUACAUGUGCAUAUAUGUGUGUGUUUUACACUAACACACACACACACACAGAAUAAACUUACUUCACAUUUAUCUCUUCCUUUUUUUCAGAACAAUCAAUUUAAAAACUGUCUACUCUUUGUUUUCUUGGUCAUGUCCAAGACAUAUGGAAAUUCCCAGGCUAGGGGUUGAAUUGGAGCUAUAGCUACCAGCCUACACCACAGCCGCAAUAACACCAGAUCUGAGCCUUUUCUUCGACCUACACCACAGCUCAUGGCAAUGCAGGAUCCUUAACCCACUACCUCAUGGAUACCAGUCGGAUUUGCUUCAGCUUCACCACAGUGAGAACUCCAUCAUAAAUAUACAUUUGGAAAAUUUAAUAUGCUAUGUUGUCACGUGUGAUUGCAUACACAUACGUGUGAAUCAAGACUAAAAAGAAACGAUAAACAGAGAACCAACCCCCCCUGAUAAUUCAGAAGAAGGGGGGAGAUAACUGUAAAAUUUAUACUUUCAAGCAGUAGAAAAAUAUAGGUUGUCUAAUAAUUCUUAUGUAGGAACUUUACACAUAUAACCAGCAUUGAACCAAAGAGAGGCCGAUCCAAACUCUUGAACAUGGCAGCCCAUCCACCCAUCUCAUAAAGACUUUUUUUCUUUUCUUUCUUUCUUUUUUUUUUUUUUUUUUGUCUUUUUAGGGCCAUACUCUUGGCAUACGGAGGUUCCCAGGCUAGGGGUUGAAUUGGAGCUGCCGCCCUGCACCACAGCCAGGGAUCGAAUCUGCGCCCUCAUGGAUACUAGUCCGGUUCGUAGCCAACUGAGCCACAAUGGGAACUCCAAGAUUUCUUUUCAUGUUAGCAGCUAUACACAUCUGCCAUGUAAGGAUAAGUUGCAGAAAGCCUCUAUCAGGCUUUAUAACUUGUAUAAAUUGCAAGUUAUUAGAACAAAAUCACCUUUAAUUUGAAAAUAAAUGUAAACAAUCAGAUCAAGCUAUGCAAGUGUUUAUAUCAUCACAGCCAAUCAAGAAUUAUUACCAGUACCUAUCACCUGGUAGGUCUAUUCACCAUAUGGCUACCAAGGACCAUUCACUAGUUAUAAUAAGUGCUGAUAUUAUGUUUUACCUCAGGAGAAAACAAUCACAUGAUUAUAGUUCUACUGAAAGUUUUUAGUUAAGGCUCAUCACCUUAUGACAUGAAAAGAGUAACAAAUCUAAAGACUUUGGAAAGACCCAUCCCCCAGCCAGGAUGCACGCAUUACCAGCCAAAUUAUGAGGGGACUCUGCAUCACGUGGAAUCAGUGGGACCCCUUGGAAUACAAGACAGGAUUUAUAUCUUGUAAUAAACCGAACAGAUUUUUGCACAGAGCCCUAAUUCAGGUGAGCAGAUGCUCUGUCCCUCUGCAGUCGACAAGAAGAUGGAACUGUCCCUCUGCAGAGUCAGAACGAGACCCUCUUAUAUUCUCUGCACUGAGUUAUCGAAUGUAGAUAUUCAUUGACCUUGUGUUUUUCUUUUUACCACCACACCCAUGACAUAUGGAAGUUCCUAAGCAAGGGGUUGAAUUGGUGCUGUAGUUGCUGGCCUACACCACAGCCAAGCCACAUCCACAAACUACACUGCAGCUCACAGCAACGAUGGAUCUUUAACUCACUGAGCAAGGCCAGGGAUUGAGCCCAAAAUAAAUAAACUGAUUCCUAUAGAAGAGGAAGGGAAUUAGGGACAGAGAUAGAAGCUAUGCUUGUCUGAAUAUAUUUAUUUUGUAGAUUCGACUCUAGAACUAUAUGAAUAUUUAACAUAAGAGUAAUGCAAACUUACCUCAAAAUGUGUUGGCAAUUUAUGUCUCCUUUUUUUCCUGAUCAGUCUGUCUGGAGGUUGAUCAAUUUUAUUGAUCUCUUCAGAGAACCAGCUUUCGGCCUCAUUGAUUUUCUCUAAUGUUUGCCUGUCUCCUAUUUUAUUGAUUUCCUCUCUUAUCUUAUUUCUUUCCCUCCACUCACUUUGAGUUUAAUUUGCUCUCUAUUUUCUAGUUUCUUAAGGUGGAAGUUUGAUAUUAGAAAUUUCUUCUUUACUAAUGCAAAUAUUUACACAGCUAUAAAUGUCUCCCUAAGAAUAUUGCCUCUGUGUGUGUACGUGUUUGCAAAGAUUUUGUUUUUAAAUUACAAACCCAACUUCUUUAAAUACGUACAGAGAUAUACAAAUUGUCUAUUUCUUUUUAUGCCAGUUUGCGUCAUUUCUCUUUUUCAAUGGCUUUUCAAGGGACAGCCUGGCUGUUCAGUGCAGCCCCUCCAUUCAGGUUGGAACCCAGCAUUUUCUGAGCUCUCUCAUAGUUGCUAUUUGUCUGCCCUGCAGUUAUUAUGUACAUUAAGUGUGUGCAUAGUUUCAGGGGUGUCAUUUCUU